CAGCAUGGUGUAGUGGUAUCACGUUGGACUCUGAAUCCGAAAUCCCGAGUUCAAAUCUCGGUGUU
rnacentral:ncRNA from 11 species